rnacentral:rRNA from 1 species
AUUCUGGCUCAGGAUGAACGCUAGCUACAGGCUUAACACAUGCAAGUCGAGGGGCAGCAUGGUCUUAGCUUGCUAAGGCCGAUGGCGACCGGCGCACGGGUGAGUAACACGUAUCCAACCUGCCGUCUACUCUUGGACAGCCUUCUGAAAGGAAGAUUAAUACAAGAUGGCAUCAUGAGUCCGCAUGUUCACAUGAUUAAAGGUAUUCCGGUAGACGAUGGGGAUGCGUUCCAUUAGAUAGUAGGCGGGGUAACGGCCCACCUAGUCUUCGAUGGAUAGGGGUUCUGAGAGGAAGGUCCCCCACAUUGGAACUGAGACACGGUCCAAACUCCUACGGGAGGCAGCAGUGAGGAAUAUUGGUCAAUGGGCGAGAGCCUGAACCAGCCAAGUAGCGUGAAGGAUGACUGCCCUAUGGGUUGUAAACUUCUUUUAUAAAGGAAUAAAGUCGGGUAUGCAUACCCGUUUGCAUGUACUUUAUGAAUAAGGAUCGGCUAACUCCGUGCCAGCAGCCGCGGUAAUACGGAGGAUCCGAGCGUUAUCCGGAUUUAUUGGGUUUAAAGGGAGCGUAGAUGGAUGUUUAAGUCAGUUGUGAAAGUUUGCGGCUCAACCGUAAAAUUGCAGUUGAUACUGGAUAUCUUGAGUGCAGUUGAGGCAGGCGGAAUUCGUGGUGUAGCGGUGAAAUGCUUAGAUAUCACGAAGAACUCCGAUUGCGAAGGCAGCCUGCUAAGCUGCAACUGACAUUGAGGCUCGAAAGUGUGGGUAUCAAACAGGAUUAGAUACCCUGGUAGUCCACACGGUAAACGAUGAAUACUCGCUGUUUGCGAUAUACAGCAAGCGGCCAAGCGAAAGCGUUAAGUAUUCCACCUGGGGAGUACGCCGCCAGC